rnacentral:rRNA from 1 species
CGACCGGCGCACGGGUGAGUAACACGUAUGUAAUCUACCUGUAACAGAGGGAUAACCCGGAGAAAUCCGGACUAAUACCUCAUAGCACAUAUUAUUCGCAUGAAUUUUAUGUUAAAGAGACUCGGUUACAGAUGAACAUGCGUUCCAUUAGCUAGUUGGCGGGGUUACGGCCCACCAAGGCAACGAUGGAUAGGGGUUCUGAGAGGAAGGUCCCCCACACUGGUACUGAGACACGGACCAG